rnacentral:rRNA from 1 species
GAUGAACGCUGGCGGCGUGCCUAACACAUGCAAGUCGAACGGGGCAGCCGGAUUCGUCCGGUUGCCGAGUGGCGGACGGGUGAGUAACGCGUGGGCAAUCUGCCCCGCACCGGGGGAUAACGCAUGGAAACGUGCGCUAAAACCGCAUAAAGCCUUGGGGCCGCAUGGUUCCGUGGCCAAAUAUUUAUAGGUGCGGGAUGAGCCCGCGUCCGAUUAGCAGUUGGCGGGGUAACGGCCCACCAAAGCGACGAUCGGUAGCCGGCCUGAGAGGGUGGACGGCCACAUUGGGACUGAGACACGGCCCAAACUCCUACGGGAGGCAGCAGUGGGGGAUAUUGCACAAUGGGGGGAACCCUGAUGCAGCGACGCCGCGUGGGUGAAGGAGCUCCUCUGGAGCGUAAAGCCCUAUCGACGGGGAAGAAAAGAUGACGGUACCCGAGUAAGAAGCCCCGGCUAACUACGUGCCAGCAGCCGCGGUAAUACGUAGGGGGCAAGCGUUAUCCGGAUUUACUGGGUGUAAAGGGAGCGUAGGCUGCCUACCAAGCCAGGAGUGAAAGCCCGCGGCUCAACCGCGGAUGGUCUCUUGGAACUGGUGGGCUGGAGUAACGGAGGGGUAAGCGGAAUUCCUGGUGUAGCGGUGAAAUGCGUAGAUAUCAGGAGGAACACCGAUGGCGAAAGCAGUCUCCUGGCCCAAUACUGACGCUGAUGUACGAAAGCUAGGGUAGCAAACAGGAUUAGAUACCCUGGUAGUCCUAGCUGUAAACGAUGUUCACUAGAUGUGGGAGGUAUCGACCCCUUCCGCGUCGACGCUAACGCAUUAAGUGAACCGCCUGGGGAGUACGGCCGCAAGGGUUGAAACUCAAGGAAUUGACGGGGGCCCGCACAAGCGGGUGGAGUAUGUGGUUUAAAUUCGACGCAACGCGAAAAAUCCUUACCUGGGCUUGAACUGCUAAUGGUAAAAGCCGGAAACGGUAAUGACCCGCAAGGGAGUUAGCAGAGGUGCUGCAUGGCUGUCGUCAGCUCGUGUCGUGAGAUGUUGGGUUAGGUCCCGCAACGAGCGCAACCCUUAUCCCAUGUUACCUGUAGCAAUACAGGGUCUCUGAGGAAACUGCCAUUGAUAAAAUGGAGGAAGGUGAGGACGACGUCAAGUCAUCAUGGCCUUUAUGUCCAGGGCUACACACGUACUACAAUGGUCGGUACAAAGGGCAGCGAUAUUGUAAAAUGGAGCAAAUCCCUAAAGCCGGCCCCAGUUCAGAUUGUGGGCUGCAAUUCGUCCACAUGAAGUAGGAAUCGCUAGUAAUCGCAGAUCAGCAGGCUGCGGUGAAUACGUUCCCGGGCCUUGUACACACCGCCCGUCACACUACGAAAGUCAGUUAUAACAGAAGUCAUUGAGCUAACCGCAAGGAGGCAAAUGCCUAAGUUAUGGUUGGUGAUUGGAGUG